UACAGAGGGGGCUAGCGUUGUUCGGAAUUACUGGGCGUAAAGGGCGCGUAGGUGGCCUGUUAAGUCGAACGUGAAAUCCCCGGGCUCAACCCGGGAACUGCGUCCGAGACUGGCAGGCUCGAAUCCGGGAGAGGGAUGUGGAAUUCCAGGUGUAGCGGUGAAAUGCGUAGAUAUCUGGAGGAAUACCGGUGGCGAAGGCGGCAUCCUGGACCAUAACUGACGCUGAGGCGCGAAAGCUAGGGGAGCAAACGGG
rnacentral:rRNA from 1 species